rnacentral:lncRNA from 1 species
CUCAGACAGGAAGUGCUGGGGCUCUGAACUUGGAUCAAAUACAUCAAGGUCCACUCUGGCUGGAUGCUACCUACCUGCAGAAAGGGGAGCCCAAAGAGACAGGGUGCCUUUUCUGGUCACCAGGACUUGAGCCCCCUUGGAGUUGGACAUCUGAAGGACAAAGGGACAUGGUGCUCCCUCAGAUGUCCAAGGCCUUUUCCUUAGUCUUCCAUAAUCCAGCCACCUCUCUGAUUGACAGAGCAGACGACAGCAGAGAGAGCCCUGUGCUCCAGGGGGCCGGCUCGGAUUACACCUGCCCUUGAGGAAUCCUUCCUUUACUUUGUUAUUGGAUCCCCAAAUUUGUCCGGAGGAAAAAGACCCCAUGGCACACACAGGAAGACAGCAGUAAAUCACAGCAAGUCAUCUGUCCAGCACUGCGCAUGCCGGCCUGGGAGUGGACGCCACAUGGGUGCAGUCGG